CUGCCGGUACCCGGCGCCGCCGCGGGGUUGCUCUUAGCACUGAGCCGCGAGCACAACUGGCUCGGUGACCCUUGUUUUUCAAACCUGGUGCGGCCUGUGUUCUUCAGCCAUGGCACCCCCUCAGCUGUGACACCCCGUCAGCCAUGGCACCCCCUCAGCAAUGAUCCCCUCAGCAAUGAUCCCCUCAGCCAUGGCACCCCCUCAGCUGCGACACCCCCUCAACCAUGACCUCCUUAGCCAUGUCAUCCCCUCAGCCAUGUCACCUCCUCAGCCAUGUCACCCCCUCAGCAAUGAUCCCCUCAUCAAUGUCAUCCCCUCAGCUGCGACACUCCCUCAGCCAUGACCUCCUUAGCCAUGUCAUCCCCUCAGCCAUGUCACCUCCUCAGCCAUGUCACCCCCUCAGCAAUGAUCCCCUCAUCAAUGUCAUCCCCUCAGCUGUGACACCCCCUGAGCCUUGACCUCCUUAGCCAUGUCAUCCCCUCAGCCAUGGGCCCCCCUCAGCCGUGACUCCCUCUUAGCCAUGUCACCCCCUCAGCCAUGACUCCCCCUUAGCCAUGACACUCCCUCAGCCAUGUCACCCCCUCAGCCAUGAUCCCCUCCACCAUGUGACCUCCUCAGCCAUGUCAUCCCCUCAGCCAUGGCCGCCCCUCAGCCAUGACUCCCCCUCGUUGCUCCGGGCUGUAGUUCAAGGGGUCAUAUCUAGUUGACCAAAAAAUGCCAUGCUUAAUGCUGGGAACUCUCCCUGGCAGCCUGCCCUGUGUGUGAGGCAACGCCAGCUCCAUCUCGCCUCUUCCAGCACCUUGGAACCCCCUGGGAACGGCAUUUUCCCAGCUGGAUGAGAAAUAUCCACACACUCUCUUCACGAUAAAUCCUAUCUUGCCAGGGAAAGUAAUUUGAAAACAUCCCUGCUGAUAAAUGAGGGGUAUUUGAAGCCCUGUCUGUUUGUUAUGUGUUUGUAUGUGAGAUAGUGCAGCGGGUUCCUGAUUCAUGGCUGGGCCUGAGAGCUGCUGCAAGAUCAUCAUAAAUAAUCCACGGACCGGGUGAAGGCUGAGGCUCCAUGUUUGCUUCCUGAUUUAAAGUGCCAAGGUCACCUGGAAGGCAGCGAUACACUUCCCUGUGCAAUUUCCUUGUGUACUUCCUCCGGAUUCGGAGGCCGCCUUGGUCAGGAAAUAGGAAACCUGUAGAUUAUGUUAGAUACAGCUUCAGUGUCUUGCCGGUCAAAUGUGCAUGAUGUAUUGUCAUAUAUUAUAAUAUUUACCCAUUUCUCUAUAAUUUUUCAAGAAUCUCGGUGCAGAAGUGUGUUUCAAAACACUGAAGUUGUGUGUUUCUGAGAUUUCAAGCAGAAAGUGCUUCAAAAUACUGCAAAUAAUGGUCUUGUCUCCUCGGAAGCAGGCAUUAAAGCUGUAGGUAUAUUCCUCACCCACACACCUCUCUGAGAUACACAGUGCCCACACUGCAGCUGAGCCCUCCCCAGCUUCUCACUUUGCCUGCAGCAAACAGGACAAUCCCGAUUUCCCUGAGACAUUCUCACUGCCUCCUUUCAGUUUUUAAAUCACCAGCCACACCUCAGUCCUGCCUUCCCACUCUCUGCUUGCUUUGUGAAUGAAGUUUCUUAUCAGGGCCAUUGUAAUCAGAGGCAAAGCUGGGAGGGAGCAGGAGGUGCAGACAAGAGACAGGAACCAUGAUCAAAUAGCUGGGAUGUUCCUUAAUUAAGUAAAUCUCGGGAUUACGCAAGCUGCUGUUCCAGUUUUCUCAGGAAAGGAGAUGUCUUUAUGAAUCACCGUCAGUUUUCAUUAUCAGCCACCGACUGAGACGUCAGAGAGCAAGAGUAGCAUCUUCCCCACAGCACAGUUAGCAGGUCUUUCGUGCUUCCAUAAGGACAAUAGUUUCUUUGGCUGAAACAUCCUGUCCAGAGGGUUACAAUAAAACACUUUGCACUUGAAUUGUUUGCCUUCCUGACCCCUCAGCUUUCUGCCAGCUUCUGACUGUGCCUGCAACCACAAUAAUGCUAUGACUAACUUAAUUAGGAAAAAAAAAAGAAGAAAAAUAUAGGAAAACCUUUAUGUCCUGUGAAAGGAAAUCUAUUGCUGCUGUGAGAAUUGCUAUUCCUGCUGGCAGGAAGGCAGGAGGUUAAUGAGAACCCCUCCUUGAGGGUUGCUUUUCUCAAUUUUCUCAUGUGCACAGGAACAAGCAAAGCUCCAAAGCUCUGCAGCCAUCCCUACCAGCAACAGCAAGUUCCUGCUCCUGUCAGUUAAAAGCCUGCUUACCUUUGAACUCAGUGGGAACAAGAACCCGGCCCUUGUGCAACUGUGGGAAAUAAUUGACUGCAGUAACAUUUCCAUCAGCCCUGUGAGUUGAUUUGAACCAGAUUACUCAGGAAACUCAAAAGCCCAAUGCGAGGUUUUUAUGAUGGAUUUUUCCAAGGCAAAAAUCCAUGGACUGGCUUCAUACCACCAGCACAGUUGAGGUUUCCCAUCGUGAGAUUGAUGCUACCCUUGAGCCUGAAAAUGGCUGGCAAGAGACUUGUGGGUGAGCGGAGGAGACUGUCACAGCAGUGCCUGUGGGGAGGUGCUGGAGUCCUUCUCUGAGCCAACUGAUCCUUGGCAGGUUGCAAACAGAACAAAACUAGAAGUGGCAAAUGCACUAUUUCUGUGGAUGGCAGACAGACCAGAGAGCAAUUACACUCCCCAGUGUGGAACAUCUCACAUCAACAAGGCUCACUUUGGUGCUGGGGAUUCAGUGGGAUUCAGCUCCAGUGGGCUCUGGCACAGACCCUAAAUAUAGAACUUUACAUGACCUUAAUGUUGCUUUUGAAAAUAGACUGCUGAUACUGAGACUUACAUAAAGAAAUACAUAAAUUUACUGUUCAACAUGGUGGAUAAAUGCCCUGUGGCAAACAUCUAUUAGAGAAGUAGAAUGUAAUUAAGGUUACUUAAUGCUGGGAAAAUAAACAUUACUUGGA